UAAAAUAUGGGUCACUCUAGUAAU
rnacentral:siRNA from 1 species